UCUCCGUAGGUGAACCUGCGGAAGGAUCAUUAUUGGAUUUUGAAACUUCAGGCUGCUGCUGGCUCUCCUCGGAGGGCAUGUGCACGCUUGUUGUCCAUUAUUUCUCCCACUGUGCACAAAUUGUAGACCUUUCAGUAGGCCUAUGUUGUUUUUCACAAUCUCUGAAUGUAAUAGAAUGGUUUUGAAUCUUGGGAAAUACAAUACAACUUUCAGCAACGGAUCUCUUGGCUCUC
rnacentral:misc_RNA from 1 species